AUUUAGUGUUUAUUCUUUGGCUUUUGUAGUGCCCUCGUCAGACUAAUAAUGUUGAUUGCGGAUAUUAUGUGAUGAAGUUCAUGAAAGAUAUCAUCACUCACCAACAACUUGUGAUUCCAACGAAAUAUUUUGAAGAUUGUCAGUUCGUUUCCUACAAUGAAGAGCAAUUGCGUGAAGUUAAAGAUGAGUGGGCUGCUUAUGUUUUUUACAAUUGUUUUUAGUAUUUAAUCUAUUGGAUAGUUAUCUAUGAGAUGGUGGUAGAUGAAGUUAAGGACGUGGUUGAGAUAUUAUGCACUUUAGAAAUUGCUUCGAAUUUAUGAAGCUUUUGAUAUUUAGAUAUAUUGGUUUUGAUA